rnacentral:lncRNA from 1 species
UGCGUAGGAACUAUUUUGUGUUACAUAUGUACUACUUUCUGGUAUGUGCUUUCUGGCCGGGCCUGAAUUAGUGGUGUUACACCUUAACUGCAACUUAAAAUAACCACUGGUUUUUCAAAAAUCUUAAACAUGUAUACUGUAGCGUGUAUUAACCCUCAAUUUUAAAUACAAAAUCAUGUACGUUUGAAAUUAGACUGAAAAUGGUCUACAUAUAUUUCUACUUCACUGAAAGUUUCAUUUCUGCAAAUCUGUUUGUUAUGACAUCAAAGGGAUUUUUUUUGCGAGGGAAUGGCUACUUUUACACAUGUCUUUAAAGUCAUGAUAAACAAGUGACCGGCGAAAAAUAAUGUUAUUCCAAUACUUGAACCAAUGCAUACAAACAUCAUAAACUUAGUCUUCUGUGCACGAUUUUAUCAUUUUUUCGCAAAAAUUUCGUACAAUCGUCAAUUUUUUUUUCAAUCGGUCAGUGUUGUGAAAAUAUGGCAGGUAAUUAAAGUUCGUGUUUUAAAGCCGAAGUUUAACGAUUGUCACCUGUUUGUCAACAAUAGACAAAAAAACAUGGAUAUUGAGCACGUGUUUAACAGGUACAAUCAUAUAUUAAUUUAUUUCAAGGACAUCUAUGCGUAUUGCGUUCACCGGAUUUUUACGAGAUGGAUCACACGGAGGUCACUUUCCAUACGGAAACUAUGUCGGGGAAUUGCUUCCAGGAAGGAAGCAAUUAAAAUAAAGUAAACUUCUUCUAAAUAUGAACAAAUUAAAGAAUUUUCUUCAGAAAAAAGUAUAUGUAC